CCAAAGACCUUUUUAAUAGCUAGAACCGCCUGUGUGGUUGUGUUGUUCAGGUUAACCCAGAUCUUUGUCCUGCCAACCCUUCAGGUCCAGUGCACGUGCCAACAUUACUCUGUCUGGGAAGAAGCGCAGAAAACUCCUCCAGCAGAUCCGGCUUGCCCAGAAAGAGAAAGCAGCCAUGGAAGUGGAAGCCCCUGCAAAGCCAGCCAGGACUAGUGGCCCACAGCCUAAAUCAAAAAAGAAGACGAAGCCCCCCCAGGACGUAGACAUGGAGGACCUUGAAGAUGGGAGCUAAGUCUUACCCCUUUCAUCACAAGGUUCUCACCUGGAGCCAGGCGGACUCAGGGCUUGUUCCAGAAGACUUUGGAGAAGACAUUGCACCUUUUCACUCUCCCCAGACUCCUCUUCCAUAAUGGCCUAGUGGCCUGCCUGGAGGGACGUGUUGAGAGGAAGAGUGGAAAAGGAGGACUGGAGAGGCGGCUCCUUAGCAGGCAACUCCAUUUGCAAUAAAGCCCAUAGUUCUCACUGA